AAUUGCUAAAUGUUACAGUGCUUCGUCGACUUAAAGAAAAAUAAAUAUAAAAAAAUCCGCAGGCAGGGUCGUGCUAUCUGCGGACAUCACAAUAUGGAGCUAUUUGUGCGUUCAUGAGUUUGAGCUGCUGAAGUGACACUGGGACGAGAGGCUUCUGAAGAGGGCGACAAGACAUCAGAUAUUGUAUUGCAUGACAACGACGACUUGCAGAUUGUAGUUGUGGAGGGGGAAAGUGUGUUUUAAGGAUGCGAGUGAGCUGCUGGUGCUGGUGGAGGCACAUUGGGUUCCAGAAAGAAAAAAAAAAUCACUGCAAUGAUGCAACGUAGGUGAAUCGGGGCUCUUGUGCAGAGUUGGAGAUGCAACAAAAAUAAUUUCCAUUACAUUCACUUCACCUUCCUAAGCGAUACCUUUUGUGAGUGUGUGUUUUUUUGUUUUUGUUUUUUUUUCUCCUUCAUACUGAGACCUAAAAAUAGCAUCAUAGUUUUGAUCGUGCGCCAGAAAUAGACAGACGGGUAUCACUUGUAUAAAAAAGGGAGGCGAUCCUGAGCAAACUUGGACGUGCCACUAUUAGAUUAAGGACGAGCCUGCACCACGAAGACAUCAAUGACAGCAAAAACAAGAACAGUGAUGGAGACGAGGUUCCGAGUGGACCCUGCUGCUGAUCCUCCAGCUGUGCGCCUUGGGGGGGGGAAAGGAGACACUUGUUUUGGAUGUUUUCACUGAGGAACGCAGAGAGAGAAAGACAGAGAAACUAUGAGAGACCGACAGUCCUCCUCCUCCUUGUCGUCCCUUCUUCCUCGCCCCGAGAAAGGGCCUGAGGGGAGGAUUGACGUAAGGGAAGUCCUGACUGACUCAAACCCAGCUGAGGAGUUCUUCUAUUCCUUGUCUUCAACUUCUAUGUCUUCACCCUCUUCUGCAACCCUUGCAUAUGACUCCCCCCUCAACCUCCCCCCUUCAUGAAGUAAGGACUCAGGUGAUCAAGAAAAUGGAAACUGACGCAGCUGAAGAAGCAGAAAAAGGACAAUAAAGUGGGAGUAGAGGGAGAGCUUGGAUAAACCGACAUGUUUUUUCCCAGAAGCACCACCCGAAACUCUGAGAGUCAGGCCGGUUUGAGAGGGACACACCCAUCCCCUGGUCCUCACAGCCAAGGAGAGUCGUCUCAAUCC